rnacentral:rRNA from 1 species
UCCUACGGGAGGCAGCAGUAGGGAAUCUUCCACAAUGGACGCAAGUCUGAUGGAGCAACGCCGCGUGAGUGAAGAAGGCUUUCGGGUCGUAAAACUCUGUUGUUGGAGAAGAACGGGCGGCAGAGUAACUGUUGUCCCGUGACGGUAUCCAACCAGAAAGCCACGGCUAACUACGUGCCAGCAGCCGCGGUAAUACGUAGGUGGCAAGCGUUGUCCGGAUUUAUUGGGCGUAAAGCGAGCGCAGGCGGUUUUUUAAGUCUGAUGUGAAAUCCUUCGGCUUAACCGACGAAGUGCAUCGGAAACUGGGAGACUUGAGUGCAGAAGAGGACAGUGGAACUCCAUGUGUAGCGGUGAAAUGCGUAGAUAUAUGGAAGAACACCAGUGGCGAAGGCGGCUGUCUGGUCUGUAACUGACGCUGAGGCUCGAAAGCAUGGGUAGCGAACAGGAUUAGAUACCCUGGUAGUCCAUGCCGUAAACGAUGAAUGCUAGGUGUUGGAGGGUUUCCGCCCUUCAGUGCCGCAGCUAACGCAUUAAGCAUUCCGCCUGGGGAGUACGACCGCAAGGUUGAAACUCAAAUGAAUUGACGG